ensembl:snRNA U7 U7 small nuclear RNA
AUGUGUUACAGCUCUUUUAGAAUUUGUCUAGCAGGUUUUCCCCCACCCCC